GACCAAGAGAUCAACAACAAAGCAAAGAUUAAGAUUCCCAUCCAUCUACUAAAGUAGCAACAUAAUACAAUUAUUUCUACUGCACAAUAUUUGUUGAUCUUUUAAGAUUUAUUUUGGUGCUCUAUGAUAGAGUGAGAUAGACAGGAAGGUUAGGGAGAGAGAGCGGGGGACAUGCAGCAAAGGACCGCGGGUAGGAAUGGACCCGGGGCGCUGCGGUGAGGACUGGCCCCUAAAUGCUACGCGGUCUAACCGGUAAGCCUCAUCACUGCGCAAUUUUACACAUCAUUUUCUCUUUUCUCUAAUAUUUAUCGUGAAUAUUUUCAUUUACUGGAACAUUUCUGCCACUGUCUUCGCAAUAUUUAUUCCAUAAAUAGAUAAGGGCUGUGAUAUUUGUUGUCUGUAUAAGAUCAGGUUUCAGACUCAAAAGGAGACUCAAACUCAGGCUGAGAAGGUUAAACCAAAAUGAUCUUAAUCUCUGCAGAUCUAUCAGAAAUAAUGAUUGCCAGCAAACAAAAGUUUAAUCAUUAACUAGGACACUUACUAGACUUGCUUAGCUACAGGACGGGACCUUCAGACAAACGGAUAACAAACGGAGGGCUUAACAACACAUGAGGACACAAUUAACAAAUCAACAAAUCAAACCAGGAGGAAGUAAAUCUAGAUAACGAUGGGAAGGAAAAGAAUAACUGAGGACAUCUGGAGGAAGAAACUAAAACGACACAAAGACAAACAACCGUUGAAACUGUGACAGGACACUUACUAGACUUGCUUAGCUACAGGACGGGACCUUCAGACAAACGGAUAACAAACGGAGGGCUUAACAACACAUGAGGACACAAUUAACAAAUCAACAAAUCAAACCAGGAGGAAGUAAAUCUAGAUAACGAUGGGAAGGAAAAGAAUAACUGAGGACAUCUGGAGGAAGAAAC
ensembl:lncRNA